rnacentral:sRNA from 2 species
GACAUCCCUCAUGGCUUGAGUAUGGGGUACAGAUGUUCAAACCACUUUAUGAAAUGUCCGGUUUAAUGCCAUCGGUUGGUAAACUCCGCUGGUCAGCCUGACAGGAGCCUGGUGGUGAAUCGUUGCAUUUAUUUCGGCUUUUGUUGAAGAGUGAUCCGAGCCUGUGCAACACGAGCAGUACCUCGUCCGUACGUGUAGGAAGAGGUAUAUGCUGUGAUUAGUUACACAGGGAAAUCAAAGGCGUAAGGGCAUGUCGCGUGUCGCGUGUCGUGCGUGUGACUUUUUGACCGCCAGGAACGACAAGCUUUAAUUUCCAGGAAAUGGGUCAACCAUCAUACAUAAUGUGUAUAUAUGUGUUGUGUUAACGAGAAGUUCUGGAUAAAAUUUUGUUCUGAUACCGCUGCUUCUUGUACUUCUGAGGUCGGAGUUGCAAAAUGAAGACUCGCCUGUUGCUUCCUGAGUCCUUCGUCUUAUGGACGCACAACCCCUUAUCAAUGCAUAUUUCCGUCCCCACCCAUUCUCAGCUUGGACCAAACUUGUAUAUCUUUGCCAACUGGAGCAAUAAAGUGAGAUAGAUAUGGUAAUCUUCAGUUGUUGUUUUCCGACAACCUGCGGUCCUUGUGGCACAGUUUUCUCAAUGUUAUUCCUUUUUUACUUCUACGUCCACGAUCACAUCGUUUCGUGACUGGAGACGUCGUCUGAAAUGACGGAUUUAAUAUGACUAAUAGCGCC